AGGUAAUGCCAUCUUGAUACGAAAAUAGUGUCGCAUGAGUUGUAUAAAACGGAAUGUUGUCGUCUUAAUAUUGAGUACAUAUAAAGAGAUAGCAUUGUUUUACUUUAUUCUAAAUAGAAACUGACACAGUUGAGAGUGUCAUUCUUCGUGAGAGUUGUGCUAAGUGUCUCAUUCAUUCUUAGCAGUCACAUUUUUCGGAACGAGGAGCGCUGCUGCUGGUGGCGCUAACAAAGGAAUAUCUGGCUCCGAGCAGUUGUUCAUUGCUCGAUUGAGGAGAGAUGGCUGAGAUGUACAUUCGCGUCGCGGAGGAGGAGAACGAGGAGCCGAUGGAGAUCCCGUCGGAGGACGACGGCACGGUGCUGCUGUCUACGGUGGCCGCUCAGUUUCCAGGGGCUUGUGGCCUGCGUUACCGGAGCCCGGUGUCUCAGUGCAUGAGGGGAGUUCGCCUUGUGGACGGAAUCCUACACGCCCCCGAGAACGGUUGGGGAAACCUGGUCUAUGUGGUCAAUUACCCCAAAGAAACGGUUCUGCCGGAUAAUAAGAGAAAGAUGGAUGAGAUCGAUGCUUCAUCCGCGACGAAGAUCAAGAGAGGAGAUCAGAAGACUUCAGAUCUGAUUGUGCUGGGUCUACCGUGGAAAACUACAGAACAAGACUUAAAAGAUUACUUUAGUACGUUUGGGGAAGUCAUCAUGGUGCAGGUCAAGCGGGACGUGAAGACGGGAAAUUCAAAAGGAUUUGGGUUUGUGAGAUUUGCAGAGUGGGAAUCUCAGGGUAAGGUGAUGUCACAGCGGCACAUGAUUGAUGGCAGGUGGUGUGACUGCAAACUACCCAACUCAAAGCAAGGACCAGAUGAACCAAUGAGGAGCAGGAAAGUGUUUGUGGGCCGUUGCACGGAGGACAUGACCGCGGAUGAGCUCCGUCAGUUCUUCAUGCAGUACGGGGAGGUCACAGAUGUUUUCAUUCCUAAACCCUUCAGAGCGUUUGCUUUUGUCACCUUCGCAGAUGACCAGGUUGCUGCCUCCCUUUGCGGUGAGGAUCUGAUCAUCAAGGGCGUCAGUGUGCACAUCUCCAAUGCUGAGCCAAAACACAACAACACUAGGCAGAUGAUGGAGCGGGCAGGGCGCUUUGGGAACGGGUUUGGAGGUCAGGGUUUUGGAGGCAACCGUAGUGCCAUGGGGGGUAGCUCCAGCAGCUUGGGAAAUUUCGGCAAUUUCAACCUCAACCCAGCCAUGAUGGCUGCCGCCCAGGCGGCCCUGCAGAGCAGUUGGGGUAUGAUGGGAAUGUUAGCGCAGCAGGGUCAGUCGGCAACAUCUGGCACAAGCACAAGCGGCACAAGUUCCACUCGGGACCAGACCCAAACAUACAGCUCGGGCAACAGCAACUACGGCAGCAGCUCGGCCGCUCUCGGCUGGGGCUCCGGCUCUAACUCUAGCGGUAGUGGGUUUAAUUCCAGCUUUGGCUCUAGUAUGGAGUCCAAGUCGUCAGGGUGGGGUAUGUAAGCCGGUUUGUGUUUGAAGUGUCGGUAUUUCUAGCGUGUUUGGUAAGUAUUUUCCGAGAGACUUAUUUCGUCACGUGUGUUUGGGAGUGGGGAUGGGUGAAAAAGCAGUCUGGGGACAAAAAAAAAGAAUGUUUUGUACACUGAAUGGGAUUUGAGUUAGUGUUUGGAGGGAGAUGUUAACCAGGAUGCUACGUUAAUGUACCAUCUUUGGUGGUGUUGUUUUUUUUCCCCCUAAUGUUGUAUUGUCUUGAUCGAUGCAAACAAAGCAUUUCAACUGGAUUCUUAUAAUGCAUGUUGUACAAUCUGUGGAUAUCUGAAAACGCAUGAGAAUUGCAUCAUAUUUUAAGUACAUUUAUCAUUAUGUAGGACAAAAAAACCAAACAAACUUGCAUUGGAAAGAAUCUGGUUGAAACCUGAACAUAUUAUAAGUUCAGCUUUAUUUCAGUACAGUUUUAUGGAAACCCUUUAAAACAAGCCUUCAUCAAAAUCUCUUCUGCAGUUGACAUCUGUGGGGUUUGCCUGGGAAGAGCGCCCUCUAUGGCAGCACAGUGUGGCUGAGGUCAUUAUGUCACCUUCCUCCCAUGUCUAUAUGCUCUCAUCGCACGGCUCGAUGACACGGGGCCUGGAAUAUGGCUGGCCGCAAGUGAACCCCAGGCGGGAAGUCCGUUUGGGGAUGGAGGAAGAUGGAGGAUGCUGUGGUUCUGCAUCUCUGGUAACGGCCAUGGACACGGUAGACUCUAGCAGAAUUUGAUAGAUGCUUCAGGAUGAGUGCUUUUCUCUGAACCUUUCAAGCCAAAUGCAUUUGGACCACAAAACCCAGUCUUAAGUGUUAAUUUUUCAAAAUUAAAAUUCAUACGUCAUCCGAAAGCUGCAUAAAUAAGCUUUCCUUUGAUGUACGGCUUGUUGGGACAAAAUGCACAACUAUUUGAAAAUCUGAAAUCUGAGGGUGCAAAAAAAAUCUAAAUAUUGAGAAAAUCGCAUUAAAGUAGUUUAAACGAAGUACUCAGCAAUGCAUAUUCCUAAACAAAGUUUUACAGUAGAAAAUUUACUAAAUAUCUUCAUGGAACAUGAUCUUUGCUUAAUAUCCUUUUUUUGUAUAAAGUGAUUGCAAAAAAUUACAAUUUAGACCGCAAAAAAUUGAUUGCAUUUGUUCAACUUAAGACAUUUCAGUCUGUAUUAGACUUGAUCUGGUUUCAAGAAAGCAGCUCAUCGUUUUAAAAUGCAGUCAUAUGCAGGUUAAAGUCUUGUUAUUUCCAGGUCCAUGUUUUUAAAAUGUAUGAUAAAAUAAAAAAAACUGUACUGUUUCAUAGAGCUUCAUAUUCCCAGCAAAGAUAUGUUUUCAGAAUUCUUUAUUACAAUAAAACAUAAAUGAACCCA